rnacentral:rRNA from 1 species
AAACUCAAAUGAAUUGACGGGACCCGCACAAGCGGUGGAUGAUGUGGUUUAAUUCGAUGCAACGCGAAAACCUUACCACCUUUGACAUGUACGGAACCCUUUAGAGAUAGAGGGGUGCUCGAAAGAGAGCCGUAACACAGGUGCUGCAUGGCUGUCGUCAGCUCGUGUCGUGAGAUGUUGGGUUAAGUCCCGCAACGAGCGCAACCCUUGUCAUUAGUUGCUACAUUCAGUUGGGCACUCUAAUGAGACUGCCGGUGACAAGCCGGAGGAAGGUGGGGAUGACGUCAAGUCCUCAUGGCCCUUAUAGGUGGGGCUACACACGUCAUACAAUGGCUGGUACAAAGGGUUGCCAACCCGCGAGGGGGAGCCAAUCCCAUAAAGCCAGUCGUAGUCCGGAUCGUAGUCUGCAACUCGACUACGUGAAGUCGGAAUCGCUAGUAAUCGUGGAUCAGAAUGUCACGGUGAAUACGUUCCCGGGUCUU